rnacentral:rRNA from 1 species
GCCGGCAGCUAGCUCACAUGGUCGCCCACUGAAGCUAAGCAGGGCUGCGCCCGGUCAGUACCUGGAUGGGAGACCACAUGGGAAAGCUAGGUUGCUGCUGGAA